ensembl:rRNA 5S_rRNA 5S ribosomal RNA
AUCCAUGGUCAUACCACCUUGAACGCACCUGAUUUCACCUGAUCUUGGAAGCUAAACAGGGUCAGACCUGGUCAGUACUUAGAUGGGGGAAAGAAUUCUUUCUUCUAGUAAUACCACUGGAAGUGCUUU